ensembl:lncRNA
UGUGUGUGUGUGUGUGUGGCAGGGGAGUCUUGGGCAUGUGGGAAGGAGGAGGCUUCCCAGGCUAGGGCCCUCCUUGCAGCUGGGUCUCCUCUGCCAGCUUUGCUGAUUUAUCUGUCUUUCAGUGGAAUGGGGUAUCUCAGGCCCAGCAAGGAAAGGCAGUGCCUUCCCCAUCCACCCUGCUGCUUGUUUACUACAGGGACCAAAAUCAAUCCCAUCCAGGUGGUGUCAGAGGCACUUCCACAGAGUCCAAAGGAGGACAGGGUCUAGCCUGGCCACCCCGUGCCGCUGAGCGAGGGGCUAAGUGAGGGUUAUGGAGGCUCUGGGUCUUGGUUUCCUUCUCCUGGUUGGGGGGAACAUGAGAGACCAAACCAGCUUGCCUCUCCUUACCAUCUCACUUGUCUCUUGCAUCUUUUCUAGAAUUUAUAGCUAUGCUUAGCACAGAAGAAAGAACAGGGAGACAUGGGGCUAACCCAUCUGAUCUGGAGCCAACGUCUGCACAUUUGAUAAGGUUUGGUUCUGUGUCCCCACCCAAAUCUCGUGUUGAAUUGUAAUUCCCGGUGUUGGAGGAGGGGCCUGCUGGGAGGUGAUUGAAUCACGAAGGUGCACCUCCCCCAUGCUGGUCUCCUGAUGGAGUUCUCGGGACAUCUGGUUGUCUGAAAGGAUGCAGCAUUUCCCGUUCCCUCUCUCUCCUCCUGGCCAUACGUUAGUCACCGAGCGCCACGUCAUCCACAUUUAUGGCCCAACGACAGUGACUGGGGGAAACAGCAAGGACACCAAUACGGUCACAUUUCAAGCGGAGAAAUUACAGCCACUUCCGGCAGUGGGUGCUUCAGGGCUUCCCACUGACGCCACAGCCAGGAAAGUGUCCUCACACCAACCAGGUCUGCGCGAAGGGGCUUGGGACUCCAGGCCCCACGGGCAGGUGGUCCAAGAAGAGACAGGUGAGUGGGCUCGGGUGCAGACCUCCCAAGAACAGACUGUGAAAAAUCCCCAUAUGGAAACCGCCACUGGCCCUCACCGUCAGCCCUGUCUCCCGUGGCCAGAGGAGAUGGCCGAGACUCGGAUGCCCAUGGCUGCACUCCCGGCCUGUCUUCUGCUCACCUGCUGGUACUUCAGCUUCCAAACAGCAAGUGGGACGCGACGAUGAGAAGGAAACGCUCGUGAGCGGUGCAGGGAAACCGUUCAUCAUUUCAAACGCCUCCCUCGAGGCACGUACGCAUUAUACGGCAUUUAUCUUUAUUCCUCUGCACCGUAUCAGCCAAUCAAAGAGUCCGCUAAUCUUCCUGACUACAAAACCAUCUACUAAAACGUUUUUAUACAAUGCAAAUGUUCGAGAUUUAUCAUCUCCUGUACCCAUAACUUAGAAGGCAUUAGGCCGGUGUUAUCCAUUUUAAUAAUAGGCUUCCUAGCUAAAAUUUGGAUCGGCGCUGGGUUUUUACAAGUUUCAUUACUAGACUCACUGAAAACACAAUAUCCCAUGAAGGAAGCAUAUUUCUCUCGUCAGAACUCGGAAUGGCAGUGCCGAGGCGGGCUGGGGCUCCUUCCUCCCUCUUAAGUUGUUACAUCAUCUCAGCUCAUUUCACUUCAUUGUCUGAUACUGCCCUGCGCUGGUGCCCGUGGGCUCCUGUGGCUUUUCUGCGCUUCUGUAUUGUCAGUUAAUCUAAUAUUUUUGACAUGUUUUCUUUCUUUCUUUUUUUUUUUUUUUUUGGAGACGGAGUUUCACUCUUGUUACCCAGGCUGCAGUGCAUUGGCGCGAUCUCGGCUCAGCGCAACCUCCGUCUCCUGGGUUCAGGCAAUUCUCCUGCCUCAGCCUCCCGAGUAGCUGGGAUUAUAGGCACGUGCCCCCGUGCCCAGCUAAUUUUUUGUAUUUUUAGUAGAGACGGGGUUUCACCAUGUUGACCGGGGUGGUCUCGAUCUCUUGACCUCAUGAUCUACCCACCUCGGCCUCCCAAGACAUGUUUUCUUUAAUUCCCAGGAAAAGAAAUGUUCCUUUUCAAAGACUUAUGUCAUCUGCCUUCACCA